rnacentral:rRNA from 1 species
ACGCUGGCGGCAGGCCUAACACAUGCAAGUCGAGCGGUAGAGAGAAGCUUGCUUCUCUUGAGAGCGGCGGACGGGUGAGUAAUGCCUAGGAAUCUGCCUGGUAGUGGGGGAUAACGUUCGGAAACGGACGCUAAUACCGCAUACGUCCUACGGGAGAAAGCAGGGGACCUUCGGGCCUUGCGCUAUCAGAUGAGCCUAGGUCGGAUUAGCUAGUUGGUGAGGUAAUGGCUCACCAAGGCGACGAUCCGUAACUGGUCUGAGAGGAUGAUCAGUCACACUGGAACUGAGACACGGUCCAGACUCCUACGGGAGGCAGCAGUGGGGAAUAUUGGACAAUGGGCGAAAGCCUGAUCCAGCCAUGCCGCGUGUGUGAAGAAGGUCUUCGGAUUGUAAAGCACUUUAAGUUGGGAGGAAGGGCAGUAAAUUAAUACUUUGCUGUUUUGACGUUACCGACAGAAUAAGCACCGGCUAACUCUGUGCCAGCAGCCGCGGUAAUACAGAGGGUGCAAGCGUUAAUCGGAAUUACUGGGCGUGAAGCGCGCGUAGGUGGUUCGUUAAGUUGGAUGUGAAAUCCCCGGGCUCAACCUGGGAACUGCAUUCAAAACUGUCGAGCUAGAGUAUGGUAGAGGGUGGUGGAAUUUCCUGUGUAGCGGUGAAAUGCGUAGAUAUAGGAAGGAACACCAGUGGCGAAGGCGACCACCUGGACUGAUACUGACACUGAGGUGCGAAAGCGUGGGGAGCAAAC